rnacentral:rRNA from 1 species
UAGAGUUUGAUCCUGGCUCAGAUUGACCGUUUGAGGCAUGCCUUACACAUGCAAGUCGAACGGUAACGCGGCGUUACCUGGCGACGAGUGGCGAACGGGUGAGUAAUACAUCGGAACGUGCCCAGUAGUGGGGGAUAGCCCGGCGAAAGCCGGAUUAAUACCGCAUACGACCUACGGGUGAAAGCAGGGGAUCGCAAGACCUUGCGCUAUUGGAGCGGCCGAUGUCAGAUUAGGUUGUUGGUGGGGUAAAAGCCUACCAAGCCGACGAUCUGUAGCUGGUCUGAGAGGACGACCAGCCACACUGGGACUGAGACACGGCCCAGACUCCUACGGGAGGCAGCAGUGGGGAAUUUUGGACAAUGGGCGCAAGCCUGAUCCAGCCAUGCCGCGUGCGGGAAGAAGGCCUUCGGGUUGUAAAGCUCUUUCGGUGGGGAAGAAAUUGCUUCGGUUAAUACCUGGAGUAGAUG